CUGACCUAGGACCAGGUCAGUAUCUUAGAGAAGAAAUGAUCAUCUGGAUUACCUAGAAUGAACUAUGAGAACUGAUGACAAGGUAGCAUUUUCCAAAUUUGAUGCCAAACCUUCACUGUCAAUGGUGUCCCUACCCAGGGCAUUUGGGAUAGUAUGGGUAACAAGCCAAGGCAGUGUCCUAGAGCACAUCUUUAAUCCGAGCACUCAGGAGGCAGAGGUUGGAUCUGUUCUAACCAUUCAGGAGGGGUCUUUCAGGGUGAGUCUAACAGAGAAGAGAAGAGCAGGGAAGGGAAGAGAGAGAAGAGAAGAGAAGAGAAGAGAAGAGAAGAGAAGAGAAGAGAAGAGAAGAGAAGAGAAGAGAAGAGAAGAAUCUCUGUGGAAAUAUUUGCAAAGUCAUAGCAAAGGAUAAUUGAAUUACACCUAUUGACAUGGGAAUAAAAGUUUUAAAUUA
rnacentral:lncRNA from 1 species